rnacentral:rRNA from 1 species
AGCGGCGGAUGGGUGAGUAACACGUGGGGAACCUGCCCCUAAGUCUGGGAUACCAUUUGGAAACAGGUGCUAAUACCGGAUAAUAAAGCAGAUCGCAUGAUCAGCUUUUGAAAGGCGGCGUAAGCUGUCGCUAAGGGAUGGCCCCGCGGUGCAUUAGCUAGUUGGUAAGGUAACGGCUUACCAAGGCGACGAUGCAUAGCCGAGUUGAGAGACUGAUCGGCCACAUUGGGACUGAGACACGGCCCAAACUCCUACGGGAGGCAGCAGUAGGGAAUCUUCCACAAUGGACGCAAGUCUGAUGGAGCAACGCCGCGUGAGUGAAGAAGGUUUUCGGAUCGUAAAGCUCUGUUGUUGGUGAAGAAGGAUAGAGGUAGUAACUGGCCUUUAUUUGACGGUAAUCAACCAGAAAGUCACGGCUAACUACGUGCCAGCAGCCGCGGUAAUACGUAGGUGCAAGCGUUGUCCGGAUUUAUUGGGCGUAAAGCGAGCGCAGGCGGAAAAAUAAGUCUAAUGUGAAAGCCCUCGGCUUAACCGAGGAACUGCAUCGGAAACUGUUUUCCUUGAGUGCAGAAGAGGAGAGUGGAACUCCAUGUGUAGCGGUGGAAUGCGUAGAUAUAUGGAAGAACACCAGAGGCGAAGGCGGCUCUCUGGUCUGCAACUGACGCUGAGGCUCGAAAGCAUGGGUAGCGAACAGGAUUAGAUACCCUGGUAGUCCAUGCCGUAAACGAUGAGUGCUAAGUGU